rnacentral:rRNA from 1 species
ACGAACGCUGGCGGCAUGCCUAACACAUGCAAGUCGAACGCGACCUUCGGGUCUAGUGGCGCACGGGUGCGUAACGCGUGGGAACCUGCCCUUAGGUUCGGAAUAACUCCCCGAAAGGGGUGCUAAUACCGGAUAAUGUCUUCGGACCAAAGAUUUAUCGCCUUUGGAUGGGCCCGCGUUGGAUUAGCUAGUUGGUAGGGUAAAAGCCUACCAAGGCGACGAUCCAUAGCUGGUCUGAGAGGAUGAUCAGCCACACUGGGACUGAGACACGGCCCAGACUCCUACGGGAGGCAGCAGUGGGGAAUAUUGGACAAUGGGCGAAAGCCUGAUCCAGCAAUGCCGCGUGAGUGAUGAAGGCCUUAGGGUUGUAAAGCUCUUUUACCCGGGAUGAUAAUGACAGUACCGGGAGGAUAAGCUCCGGCUAACUCCGUG